CCCUCUGUCCCAAAAUGUAAGACGUUUUUUUACCACUUUAGCUUUUCUCUCAACUUUUAAAGAUUAGCGACCACACCAAUUAGGCAAUUAAAGAAUCUGAACAACCAAAGUAUCAUAGUCCUGAUUUUAUUGAUCAAAACCAUAUAUAUUGAACAUGAUCCUCACAUACAUUUCUGGAGAUAAAGUACCAUUCAGAAAUUAUGAACCCCAAAACUCUCUAGAUAACCAUUGUAGUUGUUCAUCUCUAACAAGAAAUCAUGCAACAACUAGAAAAGAGAUUUUCUUUUCAUAAUCUUCGGCCAUGACACACCAUCAUCAGUCCUUGUACUUAAGUGCAUAUCAUUCUUCACCAAUUACUAUAGCACCUCUUGAUGCUUGUAUUACGGUGGACCAUCAGUUCUACAAAAACAUAAUUGAUUUGUAAGUCAGAUAUAUUUACCUCUUAGGGAUUCUGCCAAAUUAAAUCAAAAGAGGAAAUUGUACACAAAAGUGUGUUAGUUAUAAGUAGUAUAUAUUAUGUACACCUAAUAUAUUUUCAGAGAUUGAUGCUCAAUAAUCAAGCGAUGCUUACAUCGACCCAUCUCCAGAAAUUGGAGUCAAUAGGCCAUCCAUGGAAGAGGUCAUUCUGCAAUCAUCAGACACAUUAAAUAUUCUUUUUAGUUGAGAAGACAAGACAAAAUUUUCAAUCGUGUACACGAUAAUAAGAACUUAGGUAGACAAACCCACGGUCCUUCCUUUCAGAUCUUUCAAGUAGAGAAAAUGAAAAUAUGUGUUGAUCACAAGUGUAGGCACUUACCUGGAUCAUGUGCAACACCCAUCUCCAAGAAUCCCUUGAGAAGACUGGUAUCAUCUAUCACCUGUACGACCCUGCAUCCAUGUUUGCAUCUACACUUUCAAAAUGAAAAAAUGCAAACAAAAAUGGUGCAGUGAAGAAUACAAUUAGUUAAUCACAUGUUGCACGGCUGCUUGUGGACGUCCCAGCAAUGCUCACGCCUAGAUCUGUUAGAUCUGUUCUGUUCAUGGCAUGACAAAGACGACCAGUCAAAUUCAGAAUCUGCUAUAACAUGUUGUACUGUGCAUCAUCAUCGACAUCAUGCUUACUUGUGCAUCUCGCCGCCGUUUUUCCUGGAGGUGACGUUGACAUCGGAGCAGGCCCUUUGGUCAUGUAAAGCGCGGCUACGAGAUCUCCAAACUGUGCCUCCUCAUGGUGUCCGCGGUUGCCACCACCGAGAUAUCAUCGCGUGGCCCGCUCCCAUGAGGAACGCUGGGGAGGAUGUCCACGGGAACUGGAAUCUGG
rnacentral:lncRNA from 1 species